UACCAGCUCUUCGAGUGGUGUGGAUGUUUAUUGGGCCUAAAGCAUCCGUAGCUGGCUGGGCAAGUCCCCUGUUAAAUCCACCGAUUUAAUCGUUGGAGUGCGGGGGAUACUGUUCGGCUAGGGGACGGGAGAGGCAGACGGUAUUUUCGGGGUAGGGGUGAAAUCCUAUAAUCCCGGGAAGACCACCAGUGGCGAAGGCUGUCUGCUAGAACGCGCCCGACGGUGAGGGAUGAAAGCUGGGGGAGCGAACCGGAUUAGAUACCCGGGUAGUCCCAGCUGUAAACGAUGCAGGCUAGGUGUUUGGGCGGCCACGUGCCGCUCUAGUGCCGCAGGGAAGCCGUUAAGCCUGCCGCCUGGGGAGUACGGCCGCAAGGCUGAAACUUAAAGGAAUUGGCGGGGGAGCACCACAAGGGGUGAAGCUCGCGGUUU
rnacentral:rRNA from 1 species